CAAAGUUUGUUUUGAAAUAGGCUGCUCCAGUUUACACAGUGUUAGGGGAGGAUGUGUUGCUGAGCUGUUCAAACAGAGACAACUAACAACUGGCGGUGUGGAUAUAAGCAUGCAACAUUUCAUCACAAAGCUGUGCUGGAUACAGAGCUGCCAAAGCAAUGGCCAUGGGGAGAACAAAAUGAUACGACAGAUUCACACUGGAAGGUCACAGUGAGAAGCACGACAACUCACAGAAGUGACCCAAUCAUCUGAAGCUCAAAUACUGAAUAAAGACCAGGUUCCUGUGUAGAACAUUUGGAGACAUUUCAGCCCCA